rnacentral:lncRNA from 1 species
GUGAAAAGUGACGGGCCAGGACAAGGUGUCCAGCCACCAGGGGGUGGGCCAAGCCUCCUCUCUUCCCUUUUCUUGCUGGACCUUCCAUUGGUGCCUUAGUGACACCGGGCCCAGGGUACUGUCUCACAUUGCAGGAAUGGAGUCAGUGUGCCUUGAACUGUAAAUAGACAGAACCCCAAACCCCUUUAGGGGAUUCUAUUUUAAAAGUGUGUCUUUACAUGCCCUAUCCCCACUCCCUUUGAGAUAAGAUCUUUCUCUAUCACCCCUGCUAGGUCUCAAACUUAAUCCUGCUUCAACCUCCUGACUGCCCAGAGUACAGGAAUGUACCAGGCCCCUCCCCACCUCCAGACUUUUCUGAGGCAAGCUGAGGUCUAUGUUGGUAAAAUUCCUUUGAUGGAGCACACACAAUGUCUGGUGUGUGCAUGUCUGUCAUCUCUUCUCUUCUCAGUAAAUACAUGAGGGAGGCUGUGGUGUUCUUUUUUUGUGGUGGUGGUGGUGGCUUUUCAUAGCCCUGGCUGUCCUGGACUUGCUUUGCAGACCAGGCUGGCCUCAAACUCACAGGUCCACCUGCCUCUGCCUCCCAAGUGCUGGGACUAAAAAUGUGCGCCACCACACCUGGCUCCAUGUCCUCUUUAUAGAGGAGGAAACUAAGAAUGGAGGAGACGGGCUUUCCCAGAGAUACGGGAAAAAAUUGGGAGCUCUGCAGUGGGUCUGCUUGUCUGCAGGGCUCUGGGUGGCUUCCACAGUAGGACACGAGGUAGAGCGACUGUUCAGGGCUUCUUCAUUCCUUCUGCCUGUGCCUGCCCUGCCUCCAUCUUCCAUCCUUCUCCUGGACUGCUCAGCUUUCUCUGUUUUGGGGACUAGAUGGAUUCUAAGAAAGGUAUCAGGGAGCAAGGAUUAAAAAGAGGAGACACAGACAGGUGUCAGAUCCAUUCCUGACCUCACCUCCGACACCCUGACUGCUGCUCCCUGGACAGUUCUGGGUUAUGGCUAUGACUCGAGCUUUGGUUCCUGGGCAGUCCUGAUAAGCUGAGCCAGAUGAGUCAGUCCAGGUACUACAUCUAUUCCUCAUUCCCAAGGCACAGCUGCCAUUGCCCCCUCAGAGCCUGGGACAUGGCCAAGCAAGAGGAGGGAGGGCUGUCCGUGGGGUCUUCUGGGGCAGGCGCUCAAGUGGAGAGGGCUGGCGUCUGGUAGAAGGAGGCUGCUCUCAUCCACCAAUGCUCACCAGACAGUUUCCCACAUUCUGGGACAGGCCAGUCUUUUCCCUUUUCCAGCUGCUGCUGGCAGAACAGAUGGUUUUCUGGAGAUGCUGUUUGUCCAGCCACUCAGCCAGCCUGGAUUCAGGCCAGGGUGCCUGUUCUGCCUCCCUGACCAGCCUGCUACCCGCAGCUAUGGAGCUUUGGCUCUGAGACCCCAUGAAGGGAGCAGAAGGGUGUUCAGGAGCCUGGCAUCAGGACUGGUGCCUGGUGAGGCCUGAGCUGUCUCCCCUGGCUACCUGCAGUGGCAACGGAAAGAGGGGUGCAC